rnacentral:rRNA from 1 species
GACGAACGCUGGCGGCGUGCCUAAUACAUGCAAGUAGAACGCUGAAGGAGGAGCUUGCUCUUCUGGAUGAGUUGCGAACGGGUGAGUAACGCGUAGGUAACCUGCCUGGUAGCGGGGGAUAACUAUUGGAAACGAUAGCUAAUACCGCAUAAGAGUAGAUGUUGCAUGACAUUUGCUUAAAAGGUGCAAUUGCAUACCUACCAGAUGGACCUGCGUUGUAUUAGCUAGUUGGUGGGGUAACGGCUCACCAAGGCGACGAUACAUAGCCGACCUGAGAGGGUGAUCGGCCACACUGGGACUGAGACACGGCCCAGACUCCUACGGGAGGCAGCAGUAGGGAAUCUUCGGCAAUGGACGGAAGUCUGACCGAGCAACGCCGCGUGAGUGAAGAAGGUUUUCGGAUCGUAAAGCUCUGUUGUAAGAGAAGAACGAGUGUGAGAGUGGAAAGUUCACACUGUGACGGUAUCUUACCAGAAAGGGACGGCUAACUACGUG